rnacentral:rRNA from 1 species
UACGUAGGGUGCGAGCGUUAAUCGGAAUUACUGGGCGUAAAGGGUGCGCAGGCGGUCUCGUAAGCUGGGUGUGAAAGCCCCGGGCUUAACCUGGGAAUGGCAUUCAGGACUGCGAGGCUUUGAGUGUGGCAGAGGGGGGUAGAAUUCCACGUGUAGCAGUGAAAUGCGUAGAGAUGUGGAGGAAUACCGAUGGCGAAGGCAGCCCCCUGGGAUAACACUGACGCUCAUGCACGAAAGCGUGGGGAGCAAACAGG